AACAUUAAUUUCAACGUGGUAUGGAAUGUAGUUGACAUUUUUUCUAAUUCCCUGUUGACUACAAUUUUUCAUACAUACAAAGUGAAAGCAAAAACUGAAACCGAGAUUAAGAGAGUUGAACAUCGGUGGAAUAAAUCUGGAUUGAUAUGAGCUUUAGGUAAGUUCAUUAGGUUAGGUUGUAGUGGCCGGCUAGACCUACUGGUCCUUAUAGCUGAAGUAUUCUUCAUUUUCUGUUCUCAUUCGCGAACCGCUUAUUGUUGGAAGACAGCGACCCGUCUCUCGCAAAUAUUUUUCCUCGUGGUAAACAAAUACAUAUGUAAACUACAAAAUGCGAAUGUUGUGCACACAGAAGUAUUAUUAAAUGAGACCAGUUCAGUAUGUUUCCAGUCGUGCUGCAUUGCGGUCGCAAAUUUUGAGGUUACGCACCAAAUGCAAUAAGGCGUUAACGAUGUAAGCAACAACAAUGACAAUAAGUGUUACAAAACUGAAAAGCUGAACCAUAACAGAUUGAAAAGCUGCGGUUUGGAAAAUAACAGCUAGCGACAAGCAUAAUGAAAUGCUGUGUAAAUUUGGGCCAAAACACAGUGGUGGGCACGAUGUGUCGGUGCUAUGAAGCUGUGUGAUAUUUUCGGGUUGCGGAAUUAAUAGGAUACCUUACACCCACACAAGUGAGACAAUAUUGUCGUAGUAUGUGAAAAGAAGUGGAAACAGUGCCAGAAUACAUGCUAAACUGGGGAUCUGAAAAUGAAUGUGACGCACGUCCGACUGCGUUCACGUGAAAUCCUUUGACGGUUCACUGCUUGACUGCUUGACUCGUUGGCUUCAACUGGUGCUGCUGCCUGCCGCCUGCUGCUGCCAUUUGAAAUUUGAAACGCAUAGCUGGCGGCGAUAUUGCCAUCGUGUUUUUUUGUUUUUUUGGUUUGCCUUAUAUUUGUACAUUCGCACGUGCAUGUGUACGUGUGGAGCCGGGCUUGGUGGUCUCGCGCACAUCCGUUAAACGAAAUUGGCGUACACAGCAAAUGUGGGAUGCAAUCCCCAAAAGAUAAGAGACAGGGAACGGGCAAACACAGUUAUUUGUUAGUUGAACGGCUUAUGGCUGCGGCGAGUGGAAUUCGCUCGUGCCACUAGAGUGUCACUUACACGAAAUUCUGGCAGGUUUACGCACUUAGUUGAUGGCCUGACUGGCUGCUUGGUCGUCGAACUGGUGCGUAGUGUAGGAAAUGUUCCUUGGCAUUUUUAGCCGUUGGUUGGAUCUAUUGUUGUUGCAGCUAUUCACUUGUUGUUGCUGUUAGAGCUGCUCUAGUCACGGCAGUUGUGAAACGCAUUCGAUUGAAGAAUGCAUUGUCGGUGUGAGGUAUUGUGGUGCAAUUUCGCUGCCAGAAAAUGAAAACAAACUGCCUAGCCAUUUUGCUGCUGUUUUUGAUGUAGCCGGUACCUCUGGUCAACAUAAUUGCAUGCUUAUAAUUUUGAGACACUGUACGCGUUUGGUUUGCGGAGGCCGUUAGAGAUGAAUACUACCAUUACCCAGGACCCGGAUUUGGUCCUAGUGUCGACUAACAAGACAAAUAAAUAUUUUCUGCUCUGCAGGCAAUAUUCAUGCUAAGACUGUAUUUAUGUCAUGCAACUUUUCUUAACUUAAAAAAGCAUUCGGAGUUAGCUUCCAGUACGCUUGACGCAUAUAUAAAUUGUUAUUUGUGCGGAGUUUAAAAUGCCAAUUUGAUUACGAAUUUAUAGGGAUCAUUGCUUUCGGAAGGAAUGCCUGGCACAAAUGCAUAAUUAAUUCGAAAUGAUAAGAGGAGAAGCAUAAAUAAACUAUAAGUACAUGCACACACACACACACAUUUGCAUAUUUAUUUGUGAACCAAGUGAACUGAUUUGCAAAGCAAUUAAUUAGUUUCCGCUAAUGCAAUAUUUUAUCUAUUCAAAGCGAAUGGUAUGAGUGCUCUAGAAAGGGCAAUUAUCUACCGUUGCUGGCGCCGAGUGCCAGAUAAGAAACUCAUUAGCGAGAGCAAAUGCACGAAUGCUGAAUGGCAAAAGCUUGGCCAGCUCAAAUUUGAUUAGUCAGCGUAUAACAAUUGCGCAACGCACGCCACUCGGUCCAAUCGAAGCAACCCAAAUAACCGUUCUGCUUAACGAAAGCUUUGCCAUCCGCGCAUGGUAACAAUAAUGGAGUGGCACCUUCACUGGUGCAGAGAUAGAACUUAGUUGGAUCCGAACUGGCCUGUGGCUGUUGGACGUUGAUGCCGGUACAGUUGCCCACUUCAAUAUUAUAUAUACAAUUGGGAUCCAUCAAAGCGACUGGUAUACAACCAGUGAGCGUCUCGUUACGUACGAAGAAAGUUUCAUCGGGACAGUCUUGUAUAAUUGAUGUAUUGGUGUCUUUAUCGCAGAAAUAAAAUUUGGUGCCAUCAACAGUGCCCCACAAUUCAUCCUGAUACAAACAAUCACCUUCAUCGACGGCUGUAAUGACGGUCAUGGUUAUGCCGAAAAGGCAUGCCAAUAAAAUUGCAACUGUAAACAAGAUAAUUGGUGGAAAAUAAUCAGUCUAAUUGAAAAAAAAACCAAAAGCUUUGUAUAAAUUUAUUUGUAUUAUUUUAGAGUUUUGUUGUCAUUUGCCUGGAUUUUACUUUUGAAUUAAUUUAAAGAAGAUUUAUAAAAUACGCAUAAAUUGGA